CCUACGGGGGGCUGCAGUGAGGAAUAUUGGUCAAUGGCCGAGAGGCUGAACCAGCCAAGUCGCGUGAGGGAAGAAUGUCCUAAGGAUUGUAAACCUCUUUUGUCGGGGAGCAAAAAGGCUCUGCGGAGUCGUAUUGAGAGUACCCGAAGAAAAAGCAUCGGCUAACUCCGUGCCAGCAGCCGCGGUAAUACGGAGGAUGCGAGCGUUAUCCGGAUUUAUUGGGUUUAAAGGGUGCGCAGGCGGCGUGUCAAGCAAGCGGUAAAAUAGCGGGGCUCAACCCCGUCGAGCCGUUUGAACUGGCGCGCUUGAGUUCAGGCGAGGUAGGCGGAAUUCGUGGUGUAGCGGUGAAAUGCAUAGAUAUUAGAAGGAACACCAAUAGCGUAGGCAGGUUGCUGGGACGGUUCUGACACUAAGGCACGAAAGCGUAGGGAGCAAACGGGAUUAGAUACCCCAGUAGUC
rnacentral:rRNA from 1 species